GAACCCAUGGCAACCCACAUCUUUGCAUCAUUCUGGUUGGCACAAAGAGGCAAAACCCAGGGCUCCACCAGCUGGAAAACCCCUUCUCUAGGCAUAAGGAUCGCCUUUUAUGACACCAUAGGUCACAGAUCUUCAGAAGUCAACCAGCUCUGUGAAUCCAUAUUUUCUAAUGCUGUGAGGCCCAAUGCUUCUGCCAGACUGUUAGUUCCAUCACUCCUCUCACAAGAUGAAUUAGGGCAGAAUCCUGCAAUCCUUAGAGUUUCCCCACAGCAUCUGGAAAGAAGAGGAAAACCAGAGAUGAGCCAGAAAGAAUCAGGCAGAGAAAGAUGAGAUGCCCAAAGGAGCUGGUGGAAGUGCUGUGCUGGUGCUGGACCAUGCAGGGACGCUCGCUGGGUGCUGUGCAGGCGUGUGAGCAGUGCCCACUUUGGGACCCUCCACAGGGGCUAAUGAUGUCCUUUAGCACUUUAACCCCAUGGCAGGAGGUGCUUGUGUGUAUCUCUGUGCCACAGCAAGCCCACAGAAACAAUGCCAGACUGUAACAGAGGAGCAUGGCUAAGGACUGGGCCUGGCAAUGCUGCUGUUUCAGGCAUGUGUGAGACAGGAGGUGUCCUAAAAAUGCCUCAGCUCAUCUUUCAUAAAUGGAAAAUGCAGGGUUUGGUCAGCUUACCUCCCUCUGUCCCUGCUGUAUUUGUGAAUUCUGCAUAUUUUUUCCUCAUAAUACAUCUCAAGACACUUUCCCAUCAGCUCAUGCUGUUGUGUCACUCUCCAGUGGGUGAGCUCAGUAUGACUAGGAAACACUGAAGCAAAAUGAGAUGCAGAUGUGGUAACUGCAUUAAUAUUCCCCUUCAAUGCCAUUGCUGUUGGGGAGCUCAGGCUGUUAAUUUGACUUUGCUCCUCCACAGAGCAUGCAUACAUCAAAGUGUCAAUCUUAUUUGCCUUUUGUUUCAGCCCACCUGCCCUCGUGGAACAGCUUGUUCCACGAUGUGCUUGCAUCAUCCCUGGUCAUUCUCCAUGGGUGCAGCACAUCUGGUGGGGACCACAGGGGACACUGGAACCUGAGAGGGGCUUGGAUCUGUGGUUAUGUCAUGUCUGAGUGGUGCUUGUUUGUGUAUUUUCAAAAAACCCAGAGUAAAAAAGGUUUCCCCCCAUAAAUUAAUAGUGACCUCAAAGCUCCCAUGGUGGAAAAACUGCUAUGUGAUGCAAUGCCAGUAAAAUAAAAGCAACUG